rnacentral:tRNA from 1 species
GCCUCCGUAGUUUAAUGGAUAGAAUGAGAGAUUCCGGUUCUCUUGGUUGGGGUUCGAUUCCCCACGGAGGUACUA